ACUGUUGCAGAGGAGGAGCCCUGAGUGGACAUAAAAAGAAGUCGUCGCCUUUGUCAGGUCCUUUCUAUCCUGCAGACUCCACGUCUGCCCGAAGGAUUCCGGGACCAGGAGGUGUCUCACUAGUGGAGAUGCCAUGGAGUCCCACUCUUUCUGCUUGCACUCUCCUUCUAAUGUGGGCGUAGUGGCGUAAAAUCCUUGCUCCCAAGGGCAUAGGCACUGGGACCUCGUCUGCUCCGAUCUGUGAUGUCAGCGAGGGAUUCUGAUUGGUCGAAGCUCCCUGCUGAGGGAUUUUGAUUGGUCGAGACUCCCAUCGUCAGCUCCAGGCCCGGAGGGAUGGGUCUCAGUGGACAGCGGCCGGGUCGUCUCCUCGACCUGCCAACCGCGCAUCAGACAUAAAGAAGCAACCAAACAAACAAAAGCCACCAAACAAAACUCUCCCUACACUGUGAAAUGUUCUGUAAAUUCAGCACUUAUAAUGGUCGACUAUAGCGCACUGAUUGUCGGACCUUGUGCUGAAUGAACACAUUUUACUUUGUUUCCCCUUUUCCCUGGUGGCUUCUGGUUGUCUGUUGCUUGGUUGGUGGGUCGUGGGGAUGGACCUACUCGUAAAAUAUUCCAUCCCAACUUCUUUCCCAACUGCUGAACGCCUCUUUUCCUUAACAUAAAACUCAAGUAAAAAAAAGCAAAAUCUUGUAACUGAAA